GAUGAACGCUGGCGGCGUGCCUAAUACAUGCAAGUCGAGCGAACGGACGAGAAGCUUGCUUCUCUGAUGUUAGCGGCGGACGGGUGAGUAACACGUGGAUAACCUACCUAUAAGACUGGGAUAACUUCGGGAAACCGGAGCUAAUACCGGAUAAUAUUUUGAACCGCAUGGUUCAAAAGUGAAAGACGGUCUUGCUGUCACUUAUAGAUGGAUCCGCGCUGCAUUAGCUAGUUGGUAAGGUAACGGCUUACCAAGGCAACGAUGCAUAGCCGACCUGAGAGGGUGAUCGGCCACACUGGAACUGAGACACGGUCCAGACUCCUACGGGAGGCAGCAGUAGGGAAUCUUACGCAAUGGGCGAAAGCCUGACGGAGCAACGCCGCGUGAGUGAUGAAGGUCUUCGGAUCGUAAAACUCUGUUAUUAGGGAAGAACAUAUGUGUAAGUAACUGUGCACAUCUUGACGGUACCUAAUCAGAAAGCCACGACUAACUACGUG
rnacentral:rRNA from 1 species